UUCAGCAACAAGCUUCUCCAAUCCCAGGCUUCUUAGUGGCCUCAGUUAAUGCUCUAAGCAUUUACAAGUUCUUAUAGUUUGCCUUUUUCUCCUGGGGUGACAGUGGCUUAGGCACGUGUAGCACAGGUUCUUAUCCCAUGACUGUUCUGCACUUCCUUACCUUCUCCAGCAUUUUCUGCCAGAACUGCCUCCAGAGGAUGAUGACAAUGAUGGCCAGGAGAAUGAAGAUGAUGGCCACCAAGCAGCCAAUCAGGAUCCGAGUGUUGCUGUCAUCGACUUUAAGCAUUGGAUCUGUGACCAAGAAGAGAGAGAUGGAGAACAUCACCAUCUCAUGGGGCAAGGAAAAGCAUGAGAGACUGGACCAGGGACAGAGCAUUAUUAUGCAAAUUGGGAGGUAUCUGGCAUCUACAUAUACUUUUCUGCAUUGGGUCCUCAAGCUCCAAUGGAAAUGAAUGUUAUCAUGACAUUGGAUUAUAAAACUCAAGAGAUCCCAGGAGUCAAAAACUAGCCCAUUGCUGCAAUUGGGUAUAACAAGAUUCCAUCCAUCUGUCUCUGAACUCCGCAUCAUGAAAGAUAAGGAAGCAUGAAAAGGCAGAGAACAGGCAAGAAAAGCAAGAGACCCGGCAGCAAAGAAGUGUGUCCUGAAUCUGCCUGCUGAGCUGUCUUGGUGGUUCUUGACACUUCCGCUACCCGCCGAUCUCCUGGACAGAGAAGCCAAUUCCCUUUCCAGUUUCCCAGAAUGGAAAAGUACCAGUGCCGGCUGCCGCAUGCCCAGGGAGAGCUCGAUCCGUCCUGAGCUCCGUUAGGGCCUGGCAGGCAGGCUGAGGAGAAGCAGCUGCCACUAGGGCCCCAGCUUCCCAAGAAUUAUUUUCAUGCCGUGCUGCCAAGGUUGAGAGCCUGAAAGGGCUGCUUGUUCCAUGAUGUUUACCAUCUCACUGCUAGCUCCAGACCACAGGCUGACCUGUCAAUGAGUGUCCUAUAUGCAGCUUCCAGGAAAACACACACAUGGCACAUGUGAGGCCAGGGGCAUGGAGCACUGACACCUGGGCCUUGCUGGGUGCAAGUAAGACAAGACUGAUCAAGAGUGGGGCUAUUGGGGUCAACCAGGGGGCCCAAGACGAUCUAUGGUCUAAAAGAACAUCUGCAAUCAUAGACUUUAGAGCCAGAAAGGGGCUUCAGGAACCAAUGCCUCCAAUGACUCUGUAUUAAAUAUCAGAACCUCAGAGCCCCCCAGAAGCAAACUGAGUUACUUAGGGAUGCACUGCUGACGAGUGUAAUUAGGACUGAAAUUCAGGUCUCCUGAUCCAUGGUUACUCUUUCUUCAACCCCUGGCUACCAUGAUGGAUUUCUUCCAGUUCCAGAAAGGAUAAGAUGAUCUCAUUAAAGAAGCUGUUGCUUGGGUCCCUGCUCCCCGCAAACCCCACAUGGGAGGCUGCUUCAAACUGGUUCGCUAUUCAGUUGAUGGGAGAAGUUGAAAAUUUUCAAAGGAAAAUGGAAGAAAUCAUCCAAAAGGCAAGGAAGAAUGACAGCAUUCACACAAAAGCAAGAGUAAGGAAUAUGAUUAGUACUUUGUGCACAAUGAUGCCUGUGGUAAGGAUGCUGGGAAGAAAAUGAGAAAAGUGGAGAAAAGAACUCCAGACUGUACGGCUGGCACCAUGAGAAGAAUGAGACUUUCCCUGGGGAAAGUGUUUUGGACUCUGUGACAAGGGAGCAGAAUCUCCAGAGUCCACAGGUUCAAGUAGGAAAAGGAAAGAAGUUAUUUCCCUACAAAGAAAAUAAGAGGAUUCAUUGAAGGACCUUAGAAUGUUUCACCUGGCCAAAAAAAACGAGCUCCCCUAGGAGUUGAUGGUCUUGAAAUACAUGAUACACUCUUCCAAAGUAGAGGUAUUCAGAUCACACAGCACAGCUUCAAAGUCAUAACUAACCAAGUUGCAGAGAGGCAGAUUUUAACCAAACAUAAGAGGGAACAUCCUAAAAAUUAGAGCCAUCCAAAAUUGGGGUGUGUUUUUUGUCGGGGUAUGAGCUCCCCAUUACAGGAAGUGUUCAAGUAGAAGCUGAACAAUCACCUUAUUUAUAAGACUGUAGGGAACAGUCCUUUGUUGUGCAAGAGACUGUGUUAGCUAACUUCUAAAAUCCCUUCCAGUUUUAAUCAUCUAUGUGUCUGUUCAUUACAGCCCCAAACAGGGUAAGCUGACGGGCAAUCCAACGCAGAGGAAUGUGUGAUUUGAAAGAACUAUUUUUUUAUGCUGAUGCAGAUUCGAAGCUUCACACAAUGAUAACUUAUGGCCACUGAGUUCCACGAUUUGUGGACAUGUGAACACUCGCACGCUCACACCACCUAUGCAAGCAGACACCACAGCAGGCCAUUGUUACCUUUCAUCUUAUGCAUAGGCCAUCUGGCCCAGAUCCUGUGGCAAAAGUGACGUAUCAGGACUUUGCUCUACUAGGGCUCAAUUGCUUAAAGUAACUUUGAGCUUCAGUCAGAAAUAAGAUCUGGAGAGUAGUAUUGAUCACUUUUCCAAGAAAAUAUAGCAAACUUAUUGAAGACCACUUAAUAGUCAUGGAAGAAUAAUUCGAUCUACUGGGGUCAGUCAUAAAGUCCCAGGCACUGAAGUGUUUGAAUCUAUAAACAUACAUGAGUAAAUUACCUGUUUUUCAGUUCCUCCUCUUGUGUUCUGAUCUCCCUAAACCCUAAAUUAUUUAUCAGGGUCUUGGAUACCACUGAAAUGUAAGCCGACACUGCUCAGUGUUUGUCUUAUUUCGCUUCCCUAUGACACAUACAGAAGACAGAAUAUGGGAAAGAAAACACAGGUUUGAAUCACACAGCAUAUAGUUUCCUUUUCUGUCUCAGUAGCUCUAAGCAGUUUUGGGGGCCUGGACUCUGCAUGUACCCACAGUGUCCUGAAGGUGACUAAUGACCGAGCCACAUCUCAUAGCUACAGCCUCUCAGAGCCAUCUCCUCUAACAGCCUGUCAUGUCCUCAAAUCCCAAAAUUAGAGUUCUACAGUCCCAGGGCUUCCAAAACUUUAGUUUGAAUGUACAUUUUCACAGACAUACCAUAUUUAAUGUCCAUUUAAUAAAAGAAUGACCCAACCCAAGUCUGCUCAUCCUUCUAUGCAAAUACUCCCUAUUGUGCAGACAUCUGUGUGGACACCAGGGUCCCGAGGCUGACAUCAUGUGAUAAAAAUCUCGAAAGCUCAACACCACUCAUAUAAAAUCCUGGAGUCCCGGAGCCUUGGGUGUGAAUCUCCAAUAUAGUGCUCAAAUAAGUGGCACGGUAUCCUUGGCUUAGCUCCCUGAGAAGGGAUGUGACAUAUAGAAGUUCCUAGGU